rnacentral:rRNA from 1 species
GAUGAACGCUAGCUACAGGCUUAACACAUGCAAGUCGAGGGGAAACGACAUCGAAAGCUUGCUUUUGAUGGGCGUCGACCGGCGCACGGGUGAGUAACGCGUAUCCAACCUGCCCACCACUUGGGGAUAACCUUGCGAAAGUAAGACUAAUACCCAAUGACGUCUCUAGAAGGCAUCUGAAAGGGAUUAAAGAUUUAUCGGUGAUGGAUGGGGAUGCGUCUGAUUAGCUUGUUGGCGGGGUAACGGCCCACCAAGGCAACGAUCAGUAGGGGUUCUGAGAGGAAGGUCCCCCACAUUGGAACUGAGACACGGUCCAAACUCCUACGGGAGGCAGCAGUGAGGAAUAUUGGUCAAUGGGCGAGAGCCUGAACCAGCCAAGUAGCGUGCAGGACGACGGCCCUAUGGGUUGUAAACUGCUUUUAUAAGGGAAUAAAGUGAGUCUCGUGAGACUUUUUGCAUGUACUUUAUGAAUAAGGACCGGCUAAUUCCGUG